AGAGUCUGACGUGGCUCAGAUUGAACGCUGGCGGCAGGCCUAACACAUGCAAGUCGAGCGGUAACAGAGAAUAGCUUGCUAUUUUGCUGACGAGCGGCGGACGGGUGAGUAAUGCUUGGGAAUAUGCCUUUGAGUGGGGGACAACAGUUGGAAACGACUGCUAAUACCGCAUAAUGUCUACGGACCAAAGGGGGCUUCGGCUCUCGCUCAAAGAUUAGCCCAAGUGGGAUUAGCUAGUUGGUGAGGUAAUGGCUCACCAAGGCAACGAUCCCUAGCUGGUUUGAGAGGAUGAUCAGCCACACUGGAACUGAGACACGGUCCAGACUCCUACGGGAGGCAGCAGUGGGGAAUAUUGCACAAUGGGCGCAAGCCUGAUGCAGCCAUGCCGCGUGUGUGAAGAAGGCCUUCGGGUUGUAAAGCACUUUCAGUAAGGAGGAAAGGUUAGUAGUUAAUACCUGCUAGCUGUGACGUUACUUACAGAAGAAGCACCGGCUAACUCCGUGCCAGCAGCCGCGGUAAUACGGAGGGUGCGAGCGUUAAUCGGAAUUACUGGGCGUAAAGCGUACGCAGGCGGUUUGUUAAGCGAGAUGUGAAAGCCCCGGGCCCAACCCCGGGAACUGCAUUUCGAACUGGCAAAACUAGAGUGUGAUAGAGGGUGGUAGAAUUUCAGGUGUAGCGGUGAAAUGCGUAGGGAUCUGAAGGAAUACCAAUGGCGAAGGCAGCCACCUGGGUCAACACUGACGCUCAUGUACGAAAGCGUGGGGGAGCAAACGGGAUUAGAUACCCCGGUAGUCCACGCCGUAAACGAUGUCUACUAGGAGCUGGGGUCUUUCGGAUCACUUUUUCCAAAGAUAAACGCAUUAAGUAGACCCGCCUGGGGAGUACGGCCGCAAGGUUAAAAACUCAAAUGAAUUGACGGGGGCCCGCACAAGCGGUGGAGCAUGUGGUUUAAUUCGAUGCAACGCGAAGAACCUUACCUACACUUGACAUACAGAGAAGCGACCAGAGAUGGACGUGUGCCUUCGGGAACUUUGAUACAGGUGCUGCAUGGCUGUCGUCAGCUCGUGUUGUGAGAUGUUGGGUUAAGUCCCGCAACGAGCGCAACCCUUAUCCUUAUUUGCCAGCACGUUAUGGUGGGAACUCUAAGGAGACUGCCGGCGAUAAACCGGAGGAAGGUGGGGACGACGUCAAGUCAUCAUGGCCCUUACGUGUAGGGCUACACACGUGCUACAAUGGCGCAUACAAAGGGCAGCAAACCAGCGAUGGUAAGCGAAUCUCAUAAAGUGCGUCGUAGUCCGGAUUGGGGUCUGCAACUCGACCCCAUGAAGUCGGAAUCGCUAGUAAUCGUGGAUCAGAAUGCCGCGGUGAAUACGUUCCCGGGCCUUGUACACACCGCCCGUCACACCAUGGGAGUGGGUUGCACCAGAGGUAGCUAGCUUAACC
rnacentral:rRNA from 1 species